rnacentral:rRNA from 1 species
UACGAAGGUCCCGAGCGUUGUUCGGAAUUACUGGGCGUAAAGGGAGCGUAGGCGGCGUGGAAAGUCAGAUGUGAAAUCUCAGGGCUCAACCCUGAAACUGCAUCCGAUACUACCGUGCUAGAGGACUGGAGAGGUAGAUGGAAUUCACGGUGUAGCAGUGAAAUGCGUAGAUAUCGUGAGGAAGGCCAAAGGCGAAGGCAAUCUACUGGACAGUUCCUGACGCUGAGGCUCGAAGGUCAGGGGAGCGAAGGGG